rnacentral:rRNA from 1 species
UACGAAGGGGGCUAGCGUUGCUCGGAAUCACUGGGCGUAAAGGGUGCGUAGGCGGCUUGGCAAGUCUGGUGUGAAAUCUUGCGGCUCAACCGCAAGCGGUCACUGGAAACUGCCUCGCUAGAGUCCGGAAGAGGAGAGCGGAAUUCCUGGUGUAGCGGUGGAAUGCGCAGAUAUCAGGAAGAACACCCGUGGCGAAGGCGGCUCUCUGGGACGGUACUGACGCUGAGACGCGAAAGCGUGGGGAGCGAACAGG